UAUAAUUUUACUUUCUAAUGGCAGCAUUACGGCCACUAGCACAGUAUAGACAGAGUGUUCUGUGUAUAGACUGGUAUAGAUAUCAAAAUCCCCAAAAUAUGACAGUUGAUUUCGUAUUUUCAUCUUUCAUCACAACAAACAAUCAUACCACAGUUUUUGGAUGAUAUAUUAGUGCUGUGACAUUGGCUCACAUUAGGUUGUAUAUGUCUGUGGACUUGUUUUUUUUUAUAUUUGUUAUUAAUAAUGACAGAAAGACAUGUGUUAACAAUAGGGGCAAUUACCUUUUUUUUUUGUUGACGAUCGGAGAUGCAUUGUGAACUGAGAAAAUUCUUUGCAGUCAAAUAAUGUAGUGAAAGUCAAUUGGUAUACUGAAUUAAAUGUGCUUGAAGAGUUUAUUCGAGCUAGAAUGCGAAAUAGCCAGGUAUAAGGUUAUUAUAUUCCUUAAGAGAGGCAACAUGUGAAACCCCAAGAGAUGCAUUUUGUAUGUCACCAUAUGGCUACACUUGCCCUACAUGGACGUUAUAAUGUAGGUAUUUUGGACCAAUAAUUUGCGUUCUUGGGACGUACAUCUGAAGAAAAGUGAAUCAGCUGAGGUCAGAGCUGUUGUCGCUGAAAAUUCUUUUAAUCCCCAAGCCAGCCUAAAAACAGCUAAUGUAGAGGUAAAACUUCAUGAAAGCUUACGACAAACUGAUGGGAGCGAAGCACUGCUUUGGCUAUUGGGUCCUGAACUAGAAAGAUCUGGAGAAAAUCUACUUCACAGUGUCGAAGAACUAUUAGUGUCGGAGGACUAUUUAAAUGGCCCAUCAAGAAAACAGUUUGUGGGUCAGUUUUUCACCAAAAGUGAAUCAGAUUUUGCAUUAGGAAGUGCAAUUUUUUAUUGUAAAAUACUUUUUUUUUUUGUUUUGAAAUAAAUUGUUCUUUAAA